ensembl:snRNA U6 U6 spliceosomal RNA
GUGCUCGCUUCAGCAACACGUAAACUAACACUGGAAUGAUACAAAAAAGAUCAGCAUGGUCCCUGUACACGGAUGAUGUACUAAUUUGUGAAGAAUUCCAUAUUUAA